GAUGAACGCUGGCGGCGUGCCUAAUACAUGCAAGUCGAGCGAACGGACGAGAAGCUUGCUUCUCUGAUGUUAGCGGCGGACGGGUGAGUAACACGUGGAUAACCUACCUAUAAGACUGGGAUAACUUCGGGAAACCGGAGCUAAUACCGGAUAAUAUUUUGAACCGCAUGGUUCAAAAGUGAAAGACGGUCUUGCUGUCACUUAUAGAUGGAUCCGCGCUGCAUUAGCUAGUUGGUAAGGUAACGGCUUACCAAGGCAACGAUGAAUAGCCGACGUGAGAGGGUGAGCGGCCACACUGGAACUGGGACACGGUCCAGACUCCUACGGGAGGCAGCAGUAGGGAAUCUUCCGCAAUGGGCGAAAGCCUGACGGAGCAACGCCGCGUGAGUGAUGAAGGUCUUAGGAUCGUAAAACUCUGUUAUUAGGGAAGAACAUAUGUGUAAGUAACUGUGCACAUCUUGACGGUACCUAAUCAGAAAGCCACGGCUAACUACGUG
rnacentral:rRNA from 1 species